GCUAACGAGGGGCUCUCCAGAACUCAGGCUGUUUCUACUCCUCUAAUGAAACAGGCAGCUGCUAUUCUCAGAGCUGGCAGCUGACUGCUGUUAGGAAAGAAGUUGCUGGCAGCCAAGGUUGGCAAUUGGUGACUGAAUUGUCAGGGACUCAGUGGAAAAGAAAAGCAACAGGGGUGCACACCCAGAAAACCCCAGCAGCUGAUCCCUGGUGAUUGAUGCCUUUUGGAUUGGAGAAAGAGAGUGACAUCCAGCAACUGGUCAAGAUGAGAGCAGUAUGAAGACUGCCCAGGAAGAAGCCGUCGCUGCAGAUAAGUGCUGCUAGUCAGACUUCACGCCCUAGCUUUCAUUUUACACAUCCUCCAUGACAAUAUAAACGGCUCUCAUGCCCAGUUUUAUCUGGCCUUCUAUCCCUGCGCAGUGGUUAGGAAAGGAAGCCAGGAAGAAUAGCUGUGAGGUGUUCCUGCCUCUCAGCUGUGCUUAGCCCGAUUUCGGCGCUGAGCACUUGCCAGGCAGCAGAGGCUGGCUGCUGCUGUGGGCCCGGGGCAGCAGGAGCAGCGCCGCCGCACGCGUCCGACCGCGAGAAGCCAUCGCUGUGGGCCAGCAUUCCCUGGAGGGACAGGCUCUUUGCGAAGGGCGGCCAUCGCCUCAGACACGGCCAGCGCCACCUGCUGUCCGAGCCGCCUGCCGCAGCUCAGCCAGCCCGACCUUCACCGCGAAAACCAAUCUCCGACAAACGCAGCAAAACACGGCACUGAAAGCUAACAGGCUGCUGCUCUUCUAGCGUUGUCCUUGAGCUCUCUCCAGUAAUAACCCUUGGAGGAGGUGAAGAGUACACGGUAGUUCACCUGCACAAAAUCCACUUGUGUAUGCACACAUGGAGGGAAGAGUGGUGGCUGAUGGCGUGAACGAGCCAACACAGAAAAGAAUAUGUAUUUUGCAUGCAUGAUGUAAUUCAUACUAGCGAAAAUAAAAGGUAAAAGGCA